AUUGAACGCUGGCGGCAGGCUUAACACAUGCAAGUCGAGCGGAGAUGAGGUGCUUGCACCUUAUCUUAGCGGCGGACGGGUGAGUAAUGCUUAGGAAUCUGCCUAUUAGUGGGGGACAACAUUCCGAAAGGAAUGCUAAUACCGCAUACGUCAUACGGGAGAAAGCAGGGGAUCUUCGGACCUUGCGCUAAUAGAUGAGCCUAAGUCGGAUUAGCUAGUUGGUGGGGUAAAGGCCUACCAAGGCGACGAUCUGUAGCGGGUCUGAGAGGAUGAUCCGCCACGCUGGGACUGAGACACGGCCCAGACUGCAACGGGAGGCAGCAGUGGGGAAGAUUGGACAAUGGGGGGAACCCUGAUCCAGCCAUGCCGCGUGUGUGAAGAAGGCCUUAUGGUUGUAAAGCACUUUAAGCGAGGAGGAGGCUACUGAGACUAAUACUCUUGGAUAGUGGACGUUACUCGCAGAAUAAGCACCGGCUAACUCUGUGCCAGCCGCCGCGGUAACAC
rnacentral:rRNA from 1 species